UACAGAGGUCUCAAGCGUUGUUCGGAUUCAUUGGGCGUAAAGGGUGUGUAGGUGGCGCCGUAAGUCGGGUGUGAAAUUUCGGAGCUUAACUCCGAAACUGCAUUCGAUACUGCGGUGCUUGAGGACUGGAGAGGAGACUGGAAUUCAUGGUGUAGCGGUGAAAUGCGCAGAUAUCGUGAGGAAGACCAGUGGCGAAGGCGGGUCUCUGGACAGUUCCUGACACUGAGGCACGAAGGCCAGGGGAGCAAACAGG
rnacentral:rRNA from 1 species